GGGGAUGCCCGGUCUCGACGGGAUGGGAGAAUCCAAGAGCAGCAUGCCGUGCUGCGCCGGUGCUGCACGUUAAUCCAACCGGCGAACAAAAAGUGCCGACGCGGUUGCAUACCGCAUGGCAGCCUAAUCCAAGGGGUUAGGCGCCAUCGUCUGUACGAGGGUAUGCCCAUCUGCCCUGGUACAGGCGUGGAUGGAUGAUGGGCAGCAUCCUGGGAGCCAUCGCCGGGCGCUCAAGAUGCUUAUGAAAACGGCGAUAGCUUCGGCGUCCUGCCGCUUGGAGCCGCCGAAGUGAAAAAAUCAAAAAGCGGCUGAGCAUGGAGAAGCUCUUGGGUUCACAUCUCGGACGUGGGUUCGACUCCCACCAUCUCCACGA
rnacentral:tmRNA from 1 species